GAUGAACGCUGGCGGCGUGCCUAAUACAUGCAAGUCGAGCGAACAGACGAGGAGCUUGCUCCUCUAACGUUAGCGGCGGACGGGUGAGUAACACGUGGAUAACCUACCUAUAAGACUGGGAUAACUUCGGGAAACCGGAGCUAAUACCGGAUAAUAUAUUGAACCGCAUGGUUCAAUAGUGAAAGACGGUUUUGCUGUCACUUAUAGAUGGAUCCGCGCCGCAUUAGCUAGUUGGUAAGGUAACAGCUUACCAAGGCAACGAUGCGUAGCCGACCUGAGAGGGUGAUCGGCCAAACUGGAACUGAGACACGGUCCAGACUCAUACGGGAGGCAGCAGUAGGGAAUCUUCCGCAAUGGGCGAAAGCCUGACGGAGCAACGCCGCGUGAGUGAUGAAGGUCUUCGGAUCGUAAAACUCUGUUAUUAGGGAAGAACAAAUGUGUAAGUAACUAUGCACGUCUUGACGGUACCUAAUCAGAAAGCCACGGCUAACUACGUG
rnacentral:rRNA from 1 species